GGACCUUUAGCUCAGUUGGUUAGAGCAGACGGCUCAUAACCGUCCGUCCGAUGGUGGAGCAUGUGGUUUA
rnacentral:tRNA from 1 species